rnacentral:rRNA from 1 species
GUUCCUACGGGGCGCAGCAGUGGGGAAUAUUGCGCAAUGGGCGAAAGCCUGACGCAGCGACGCCGCGUGAGGGAUGAAGGUCUUCGGAUCGUAAACCUCUGUCAGCAGGGAAGAACGGUCACUGUGCUAAUCAGCAGUGAAUUGACGGUACCUGCAAAGGAAGCACCGGCUAACUCCGUGCCAGCAGCCGCGGUAAUACGGAGGGAGCAAGCGUUAUCCGGAUUUAUUGGGUGUAAAGGGUGCGUAGACGGGAAAUUAAGUUAGUUGUGAAAUCCCUCGGCUCAACUGAGGAACUGCAACUAAAA